CCUAGUUUCUCAUUGAUGAAAAAAUAAUUAACACUUUCCUUGUCGAUCUCUCUGGGAAAUAUAAAAAACGCUCGAUCUCUUUUGAUAACAAAUAAGUGAUCAAUAAAGAAGAAAGAGGCACUGAUGAUGAGUCUGCCGAACUACUACUACUACUUGUUUGUUAAUGUUAUUAUGAUUGGAUCAUCAUUAACGACAAUAAUGUCCACACUAGCUUCAUCCAUUGCAAAACAAGAUUAUUGCCAAGCCAAGUGUGGAGAUGUAGAUAUUCCAUACCCUUUCGGAAUUGGACCAUCCGAAUGUUUUCUUGACGAACGAUUCGAAAUCUCCUGCGACAACAGCUCUUCCACGCCUGUUCUCAAACACACUCAGCUACAGGUUACCUCCUUGUGGAUUGACUGCCCGAUCAUACUACAACUACCGCUUAGUGUAGUCACAUUUUGGGCGUUAAACAGAUACACUUGGGUUGGGAAAGAAAAAGCUUUACUAUUCUUAAGCUUUACCAAACACUUGGGAAGUAAGGAUUAGAGUAUUUCAGUAUUGAAGUUAGGCCAUCUAUAAGGCCAACAAAGGAGUAUUCCAAGCCCCGCAUUUGUUCUCGCGUCCCGGUUUUGUGUGAUGCAGGAAAAUGAAUAUGGAAGGCGGAAGGAUUCUUGGUAGCUUGGCUUAUGUGUUGAGGGUGGAUGGAAUGUGUGGACUGCGUGUCGAUUGAGGAUGAAGUUAUUUAUUUUUAGUCUUUUAAAUCAUGUUUUUCCGCAUUUAGUUUUGUAAAAAAUUUUCUUUAGUAUAAAAUUAUGUUUUAUGUUUUAAACAAUGGGU